AUUGAACGCUGGCGGCAGGCCUAACACAUGCAAGUCGAACGAGUGGCGGACGGGUGAGUAAUGUCUGGGAAACUGCCUGAUGGAGGGGGAUAACUACUGGAAACGGUAGCUAAUACCGCAUACCAUCAGAUGUGCCCACAUGGGAUUAGCUAGUUGGUGGGGUGACGGCUCACCAAGGCGACGAUCCCUAGCUGGUCUGAGAGGAUGACCAGCCACACUGUAACGGAGACAGGGUCCAGACGCCUACGGGAGGCAGCAGUGGGAAAUAUUGGACAAUGGGGGCAAGCCUGAUGCAGCCAUGCCGCGUGUAUGAAGAAGGCCUUCGGGUUGUAAAGUACUUUCAGCGGAGAGGCGUUACCCGCAGAAGAAGCACCGGCUAACUCCGUGCCAGCCGCCGCGGUAAUAC
rnacentral:rRNA from 1 species